GACGAACGCUGGCGGCGUGCCUAAUACAUGCAAGUUGAGCGCUGAAGGUUGGUACUUGUACCAACUGGAUGAGCAGCGAACGGGUGAGUAACGCGUGGGGAAUCUGCCUUUGAGCGGGGGACAACAUUUGGAAACGAAUGCUAAUACCGCAUAAAAACUUUAAACACAAGUUUUAAGUUUGAAAGAUGCAAUUGCAUCACUCAAAGAUGAUCCCGCGUUGUAUUAGCUAGUUGGUGAGGUAAAGGCUCACCAAGGCGAUGAUACAUAGCCGACCUGAGAGGGUGAUCGGCCAACUUGGGACUGAGACACGGCCCAAACCCCUACGGGAGGCAGCAGUAGGGAAUCUUCGGCAAUGGACGAAAGUCUGACCGAGCAACGCCGCGUGAGUGAAGAAGGUUUUCGGAUCGUAAAACUCUGUUGGUAGAGAAGAACGUUGGUGAGAGUGGAAAGCUCAUCAAGUGACGGUAACUACCCAGAAAGGGACGGCUAACUACGUG
rnacentral:rRNA from 1 species